GAUGAACGCUGGCGGCGUGCUUAACACAUGCAAGUCGAACGGAAAGGCUCCUGCUUGCAGGGGUACUCGAGUGGCGAACGGGUGAGUAACACGUGGGUGAUCUGCCCUGCACUUCGGGAUAAGCCUGGGAAACUGGGUCUAAUACCGGAUAGGACGAUGGUUUGGAUGCCAUUGUGGAAAGUUUUUCGGUGUGGGAUGAGCUCGCGGCCUAUCAGCUUGUUGGUGGGGUAAUGGCCUACCAAGGCGUCGACGGGUAGCCGGCCUGAGAGGGUGUACGGCCACAUUGGGACUGAGAUACGGCCCAGACUCCUACGGGAGGCAGCAGUGGGGAAUAUUGCACAAUGGGCGCAAGACUGAUGCAGCGACGCCGCGGGGGGGAUGACGGCCUUCGGGUUGUAAACUCCUUUCGCUAGGGACGAAGCGUUUUGUGACGGUACCUGGAGAAGAAGCACCGGCUAACUACGUG
rnacentral:rRNA from 1 species